UACGUAGGGUGCAAGCGUUGUCCGGAAUUAUUGGGCGUAAAGAGCUCGUAGGCGGUCUGUCGCGUCUGCUGUGAAAACUCAGGGCUUAACCCUGAGCUUGCAGUGGGUACGGGCAGACUAGAGUGCGGUAGGGGAGACUGGAAUUCCUGGUGUAGCGGUGAAAUGCGCAGAUAUCAGGAGGAACACCCAUGGCGAAGGCAGCAAACUGGCCGGCAUCUGACAC
rnacentral:rRNA from 1 species